rnacentral:tRNA from 1 species
GGGAAUGAUUAGGAGGCUGGUGCCCCUCGUGGUCUUCAAAACCAUCGUCCCCGCCACAAACGGGGAGCUGGGUUCGAUUCCCAGGCGUUGCCG